rnacentral:rRNA from 1 species
CAGCAGUGGGGAAUAUUGCACAAUGGGCGCAAGCCUGAUGCAGCCAUGCCGCGUGUAUGAAGAAGGCCUUCGGGUUGUAAAAGUACUUUCAGCAGUGAGGAAGUGGGUAUGUUAAUAGCAUACUCAUUUGACGUUAGCUGCAGAAGAAGCACCGGCUAACUCCGUGCCAGCCAGCCGCGGUAAUACGGAGGGUGCGAGCGUUAAUCGGGAAUUACUGGGCGUAAAGCGCAUGCAGGUGGUUUGUUAAGUCAGAUGUGAAAGCCCGGGGCUCAACCUCCGGAAUUGCAUUUGAAACUGGCAAACUAGAGUACUGUAGAGGGGGUAGAAUUUCAGGUGUAGCGGUGAAAUGCGUAGAGAUCUGAAGGAAUACCGGUGGCGAAGGCGGCCCCCUGGACAGAUACUGACACUCAGAUGCGAAAGCGUGGGGAGCAAACCGGAUUAGAUACCCUGGUAG